UAGGGAAUCCUCCACAAUGGACGAAAGUCUGAUGGAGCAACGCCGCGUGAGUGAAGAAGGGUUUCGGCUCGUAAAACUCUGUUGUUAAAGAAGAACAUAUCUGAGAGUAACUGUUCAGGUAUUGACGGUAUUUAACCAGAAAGCCACGGCUAACUACGUGCCAA
rnacentral:rRNA from 1 species